rnacentral:rRNA from 1 species
AGAGUUUGAUCCUGGCUCAGAACGAACGCUGGCGGCGUGGCUAAGGCAUGCAAGUCGAACGGACCUUAUUCCUUCGGGAGUUUGGUUAGUGGCGAACGGGUGAGGAAUACAUGGAUAACGUACCCUGGACUCAGGGAUAGCGGCGGGACUUCGGUCCCUUUGCGAAAGUGCCGGUAAUACCUGAUGACCCCGCGGAAUCGCAUGGUUCUGCGGGCAAAGCUCCGACGGUCCAGGAGCGGUUCAUGUUUUAUCAGCUUGUUGGUGAGGUAACGGCUCACCAAGGCAACGACGGAUAUCGGGCGUGAGAGCGUGACCCGACACAUCGGAACUGAGACACGGUCCGGACACCUACGGGUGGCUGCAGCAACGAAUAUUCCGCAAUGGACGAAAGUCUGACGGAGCGACGCCGCGUGCAGGAAGAAGUCCCUCGGGAUGUAAACUGCUGUCAGGGGUGAGGAAGAUCUGACCAGCCCCAAAGGAAGCACUGGCUAACUCCGUGCCAGCAGCCGCGGUAAUACGGAGAGUGCAAGCGUUGUUCGGAAUUAUUGGGCUUAAAGAGCGUGUAGGCGGGAUAUCAGGUGCCAUGUGAAAGCCCCGGGCUCAACCCGGGAAUGGCAUGGCAAACCGAUAUUCUUGAGGCAGGCAGAGG